AUUGAACGCUGGCGGCAGGCCUAACACAUGCAAGUCGAGCGGAGCGGCGGACGGGUGAGUAAUGCCUAGGAAUCUGCCUGGUAGUGGGGGAUAACGUCCGGAAACGGGCGCUAAUCCCGCAUACUAUCAGAUGAGCCUAGGUCGGAUUAGCUAGUUGGUGGGGUAAAGGCCUACCAAGGCGACGAUCCGUAACUGGACUGAGAGGGUGAUCAGUCAAACGGGAACGGAGAAACGGUCCAGACUCCUACGGGAGGAAGAAGUGGGGAAUAUUGGACAAUGGGCGAAAGCCUGACGCAGCCAGGCCGCGUGUGUGAAGAAGGUCUUCGGAUUGUAAAGCACUUUGAGUUGGGAGGCGUUACCAACAGAGUAAGCACCGGCUAACUACGUGCCAGCAGCCGCGGUAAUAC
rnacentral:rRNA from 1 species